rnacentral:rRNA from 1 species
UACGUAGGGAGCAAGCGUUGUUCGGAUUUACUGGGCGUAAAGGGCGCGUAGGCGGCCUGACAGGUCACUUGUGAAAUCUCCGGGCUUAACUCGGAACGGCCAAGUGAUACUGCAAAGCUAGAGUGCAGAAGGGGCAAUCGGAAUUCUUGGUGUAGCGGUGAAAUGCGUAGAUAUCAAGAGGAACACCUGAGGUGAAGACGGGUUGCUGGGCUGACACUGACGCUGAGGCGCGAAAGCCAGGGGAGCAAAC